rnacentral:miRNA from 1 species
UCUUUCCAGGUGUCUCCAACGU